AGGGUUGUGGCUCAGUGGUAGAGUGCUUGCCUAGCAUGCAUGAGGCACUGGGUUCGAUCCCUGGCACCACAU
rnacentral:tRNA from 1 species